CACACACACACACAUACACAUAGUUACGGAGCAAAUUCGAUGCAUUGGAAUCAUCAUUAAUCAGGCACCGGAAAGGAAAUGCGAGAGCGAAAGAGUUCUAAAAUUCCGCCCUCUUUGGCAUUCAUCAGCCCUCACUUCAUUGGAGUCCGAAUAUUCCUGAAUAUAUAUUCUGCGGUUUACACAAGUUGAAUUGCAAAUUCUGCCAAAGAUUUCAAUAAAAUUGCGUUGGAAACUGCCACGUCGCGCCGUCACUCCGGUGUGACCUUGCCAGGGGGCCGUCGGCUGUCCUUGCAUCGUGCCGUGUGUGUCCUUGUGCCCGACAACGAGUUAUCGCCCGCUCCGCUCCUGCGCACUCACACACUCAAGCAAAUCCUUCGAAUGUGCACGUGUGUGUGUGAGGAGCAAUUUAUUUUGCGCUCUGCUGCUUGACGACGAGGACUACGUUCUCUCCUCCUGAUAGGGUAUCGUGGCUUUGAGCAGAUGUUUGCCGGGGACAAAGCUCCAGGUUUCCAGAGACUGAAGUAUUUGCGAUUCAUAUCUAUUUGUGCUUGCUAUUAGCUCGGAUGGAUAACAUCAAACCUCGAUCACUAUAUAUUUUAGAAAUGUGUGGAAGCUGCACUGGAUCUGAAAGAGUAUCCAAGGAAGUGGUGUCCAAAAUGA